GGGGGAAUAUUGCACAAUGGGCGAAAGCCUGAUGCAGCGACGCCGCGUGAGCGAAGAAGUAUUUCGGUAUGUAAAGCUCUAUCAGCAGGGAAGAUAAUGACGGUACCUGACUAAGAAGCACCGGCUAAAUACGUGCCAGCAGCCGCGGUAAUACGUAUGGUGCAAGCGUUAUCCGGAUUUACUGGGUGUAAAGGGAGCGCAGGCGGUGCGGCAAGUCUGAUGUGAAAGCCCGGGGCUCAACCCCGGUACU
rnacentral:rRNA from 1 species